rnacentral:misc_RNA from 1 species
UUGAAUAACCUGGUACUGAUGCUGGCCCUUUAACUGAGGGCAUGUGCUCGUAUCAUCUUAUUUAUCUCCUCUUGUGCACCUUUUGUAGUCUUUGAAGCUUUCGCAGUCAAAUGCGGUUUGGGGGCUUGAGCUUGCAAAAGUCCUUCCCCUGCUUGGCUUCAAAGGCUAUGUUUUCAUAUACACUUUGUAGUUGCAGAAUGUCUUCUUAUUGGCUUUGUAAAGUCAGUAAACUCUAUA